rnacentral:rRNA from 1 species
GACGAACGCUGGCGGCGUGCUUAACACAUGCAAGUCGAACGGGCUCUGUCUGGCUGUGUGCUGGGUGGGGUUAGUGGCGAACGGGUGAGUAAUACGUGAGUAACCUGCCCUCUUCUUUGGGAUAAGCCUUGGAAACGGGGUCUAAUACUGGAUAUUCCUGUCUGGUCGCAUGGCUGGGUGGGGAAAGUUUUUUCGGUGGGGGAUGGGCUCGCGGCCUAUCAGCUUGUUGGUGGGGUGAUGGCCUACCAAGGCGUCGACGGGUAGCCGGCCUGAGAGGGUGACCGGCCACACUGGGACUGAGAUACGGCCCAGACUCCGACGGGAGGCAGCAGUGGGGGAUAUUGCACAAUGGGCGCAAGCCUGAUGCAGCGACGCCGCGUGGGGGAUGACGGCUUUCGGGUUGUAAACCUCUUUCGUCGGGGGACAAGGCUCUGCUUGGUGGUGGGGUUGAGGGUACCCGGUGAAGAAGCGCCGGCUAACUACGUG